GCUACCUUCGGGUGGAGCGGCGGACGGGUUAGUAACGCGUGGGAAUAUACCCUUCACUAUGGAAUAGCCUCGGGAAACUGAGAGUAAUACCAUAUACGCCCUUCGGGGGAAAGAUUUAUCGGUGAAGGAUUAGCCCGCGUAAGAUUAGAUAGUUGGUGGGGUAAUGGCCUACCAAGUCUACGAUCUUUAGCUGGUUUUAGAGGAUGAUCAGCAACACUGGGACUGAGACACGGCCCAGACUCCUACGGGAGGCAGCAGUGGGGAAUCUUAGACAAUGGGCGAAAGCCUGAUCUAGCCAUGCCGCGUGAGUGAUGAAGGUCUUAGGAUCGUAAAGCUCUUUCGCUAGGGAUGAUAAUGACAGUACCUAGUAAAGAAGCCCCGGCUAACUCCGUGCCAGCAGCCGCGGUAAUACGGAGGGGGCUAGCGUUGUUCGGAAUUACUGGGCGUAAAGCGUACGUAGGCGGAUCAGAAAGUAUGGGGUGAAAUCCCAGGGCUUAACCCUGGAACUGCCUCAUAAACUCCUGGUCUUGAGUUC
rnacentral:rRNA from 1 species